UACGUAGGGUCCGAGCGUUGUCCGGAAUUAUUGGGCGUAAAGAGCUCGUAGGCGGUUUGUCGCGUCUGCUGUGAAAUCCCGAGGCUCAACCUCGGGCCUGCAGUGGGUACGGGCAGACUGGAGUGCGGUAGGGGAGAAUGGAAUUCCUGGUGUAGCGGUGGAAUGCGCAGAUAUCAGGAGGAACACCAACGGCGAAGGCAGCUCGCUGGGACGGUACUGACGCUGAGGCGCGAAAGCGUGGGGAGCAAACAGG
rnacentral:rRNA from 1 species